UACGGAGGGGGCUAGCGUUGUUCGGAAUUACUGGGCGUAAAGCGCGCGUAGGCGGCUUAGCAAGUUAGAGGUGAAAGCCCGGAGCUUAACUCCGGAAUUGCCUUUAAAACUGCAAAGCUAGAAUCAUGGAGAGGUGAGUGGAAUUCCGAGUGUAGAGGUGAAAUUCGUAGAUAUUCGGAAGAACACCAGUGGCGAAGGCGACUCACUGGACAUGUAUUGACGCUGAGGUGCGAAAGCGUGGGGAGCAAACAGG
rnacentral:rRNA from 1 species